rnacentral:sRNA from 1 species
ACUUCUUCUUCGAGGAGACAGCCAGCGAGUUUGACUUCUUUGAGAGGCUCCACACAUCGCGGGUGGCUAGAGUCUGCAAGAAUGACGUGGGCGGCGAAAAGCUGCUGCAGAAGAAGUGGACCACCUUCCUGAAGGCCCAGCUGCUCUGCACCCAGCCGGGGCAGCUGCCCUUCAACGUCAUCCGCCACGCGGUCCUGCUCCCCGCCGAUUCUCCCACAGCUCCCCACAUCUACGCAGUUUUCACCUCCCAGUGGCAGGUUGGCGGGACCAGGAGCUCUGCGGUUUGUGCCUUCUCUCUCUUGGAGAUUGAACGUGUCUUUAAGGGGAAAUACAAAGAGUUGAACAAAGAAACUUCACGCUGGACUACUUAUAGGGGCCCUGAGACCAACCCCCGGCCAGGCAGUGUGAGUACUACCCCCCAUACUGAACACAGUCUACACACACAUGAUGUGCAUGAAAAAACACCUAUCGUGGCAUAGUAAAUGCCCAAUAAAUGUUAGUGUUCUCCACCCCACCAAUCUCGUCUGCUCAGAUGUACACCUGGUAUAGCUGCCUACAUUCCACAUGUGCCUAGCACCCUUUUAUACACAGAGCAGUUGCUGGAGCCA